CCUACGGGGGCAGCAGUGAGGAAUAUUGGUCAAUGGGCGGGAGCCUGAACCAGCCAAGCCGCGUGAGGGAAGAAGGUACAGCGUAUCGUAAACCUCUUUUGUCAGGGAACAAAGGCGUGGACUAGUCCCCGGAUGAGGGUACCUGAAGAAAAAGCAUCGGCUAACCCCGUGCCAGCAGCCGCGGUAAUACGGGGGAUGCGAGCGUUAUCCGGAUUUAUUGGGGUUAAAGGGUGCGCAGGCGGCCUGUUAAGUCAGCGGUAAAAGCCCGGGGCUCAACCCCGGCGAGCCGUUGAAACUGGCGGGCUCGAGUUGGAGAGAAGUACGCGGAAUGCGCGGUGUAGCGGUGAAAUGCUUAGAUAUCGCGCAGAACCCCGAUUGCGAAGGCAGCGUACCGGCUCCACACUGACGCUGAGGCACGAAAGCGUGGGUAUCGAACAGGAUUAGAUACCCUAGUAGUC
rnacentral:rRNA from 1 species